rnacentral:rRNA from 1 species
GACGAACGCUGGCGGCGUGCCUAAUACAUGCAAGUCGAGCGGAACACUUGGAGCUUGCUCCAAGCGUUUAGCGGCGGACGGGUGAGUAACACGUGGGCAACCUGCCCUGCAGAUCGGGAUAACUCCGGGAAACCGGUGCUAAUACCGAAUAGUUUGUCCUCCCUCCUGGGAGGAUACGGAAAGACGGUUUCGGCUGUCACUGCAGGAUGGGCCCGCGGCGCAUUAGCUAGUUGGUGGGGUAACGGCCCACCAAGGCCACGAUGCGUAGCCGACCUGAGAGGGUGAUCGGCCACACUGGGACUGAGACACGGCCCAGACUCCUACGGGAGGCAGCAGUAGGGAAUCUUCCGCAAUGGACGCAAGUCUGACGGAGCAACGCCGCGUGAGUGAUGAAGGUUUUCGGAUCGUAAAACUCUGUUGCGAGGGAAGAAACCGUGCCAGCUAACUACUGGCACCUUGACGGUACCUCGCCAGAAAGCCACGGCUAACUACGUGCCAGCCGCCGCAGUAAAAC